GCUCCUUUAGCUCAAUCGGUAGAGCGCGUCCUUGGUAAGGACGAGGUUUCAGGUUCGAUUCCUGGGGGGAGCACCA
rnacentral:tRNA from 1 species